GACGUAGGUGGCGAACGUUAUCCGGAAUUAUUGGGCGUAAAGAGCGUGUAGGCGGCCAGAUAGGUCCGUUGUGAAAACUCGAGGCUCAACCUCGAGACGCCGAUGGAAACCAUCUGGCUAGAGUCCGGAAGAGGAGAGUGGAAUUCCUGGUGUAGCGGUGAAAUGCGCAGAUAUCAGGAAGAACACCCGUGGCUAAGGCGGCUCUCUAGUACGGUACUGACGCUGAGACGCGAAAGCGUGGGGAGCGAACAGG
rnacentral:rRNA from 1 species